rnacentral:rRNA from 1 species
UACAGAGGUCUCGAGCGUUGUUCGGAUUCAUUGGGCGUAAAGGGCGCGUAGGCGGCGGGGUAAGUCUGGUGUGAAAUCUAGGAGCUCAACUCCUAAACUGCACUGGAUACUGCUCUGCUAGAGGACUGGAGAGGAGACUGGAAUUCACGGUGUAGCAGUGAAAUGCGUAGAUAUCGUGAGGAAGACCAGUGGCGAAGGCGGGUCUCUGGACAGUUCCUGGACGGCUGAGGCG